rnacentral:rRNA from 1 species
UAAGGGACUGAGCGGCGGACGGGUGAGUAACGCGUGGGUAACCUGCCUCAUACAGGGGGAUAACAGUUGGAAACGGCUGCUAAUACCGCAUAAGCGCACAGUACCGCAUGGUACAGUGUGAAAAACUCCGGUGGUAUGAGAUGGACCCGCGUCUGAUUAGCUAGUUGGAGGGGUAACGGCCCACCAAGGCGACGAUCAGUAGCCGGCCUGAGAGGGUGAACGGCCACAUUGGGACUGAGACACGGCCCAGACUCCUACGGGAGGCAGCAGUGGGGAAUAUUGCACAAUGGGGGAAACCCUGAUGCAGCGACGCCGCGUGAAGGAAGAAGUAUCUCGGUAUGUAAACUUCUAUCAGCAGGGAAGAAAAUGACGGUACCUGACUAAGAAGCCCCGGCUAACUACGUGCCAGCAGCCGCGGUAAUACGUAGGGGGCAAGCGUUAUCCGGAUUUACUGGGUGUAAAGGGAGCGUAGACGGAAGAGCAAGUCUGAUGUGAAAGACUGGGGCUUAACCCCAGGACUGCAUUGGAAACUGUUUUUCUUGAGUGCCGGAGAGGUAAGCGGAAUUCCUAGUGUAGCGGUGAAAUGCGUAGAUAUUAGGAGGAACACCAGUGGCGAAGGCAGCUUACUGGACGGUAA